CCUACGGGAGGCAGCAGUGGGGAAUAUUGCGCAAUGGGGGGAACCCUGACGCAGCAACGCCGCGUGAGCGACGAAGGCCUUCGGGUCGUAAAGCUCUGUCAUAGGGGACGAAACAAGACUGUACCCUAAGAGGAAGCCCCGGCUAACUACGUGCCAGCAGCCGCGGUAACACGUAGGGGGCAAACGUUGUCCGGAAUUACUGGGCGUAAAGCGCGCGUAGGCGGUCAAUUAAGUCAGGUGUGAAAGGCCCGGGCUUAACCCGGGUAUUGCACUUGAAACUGAUUGACUUGAGGACAGGCGAGGGAAGUGGAAUUCCUAGUGUAGCGGUGAAAUGCGUAGAUAUUAGGAAGAACACCAGUGGCGAAGGCGACUUCCUGGACUGUAACUGACGCUGAGGUGCGAAAGCGUGGGUAGCGAACAGGAUUAGAUACCCUGGUAGUCCACGCUGUAAACGAUGGAUACUAGGUGUAGGAGGUUUCAAUACCAUCUGUGCCGUAGUUAACGCAAUAAGUAUCCCGCCUGGGGAGUACGACCGCAAGGUUGAAACUCAAAUGAAUUGACGG
rnacentral:rRNA from 1 species